AGUGUUGGCUUAGUGUAGAGUGCUUGCCUAGCAUGCAUGAAGCCCUAGGUUCGAUUCCUAAGUACCACUG
rfam:Dipodomys ordii contig_63593, whole genome shotgun sequence.